rnacentral:rRNA from 1 species
CAGUCGCCGCGGUAAUACAGAGGGUGCGAGCGUUAAUCGGAUUUACUGGGCGUAAAGCGCGCGUAGGCGGCUUUUUAAGUCGGAUGUGAAAUCCCCGAGCUUAACUUGGGAAUUGCAUUCGAUACUGGGAAGCUAGAGUAUGGGAGAGGAUGGUAGAAUUCCAGGUGUAGCGGUGAAAUGCGUAGAGAUCUGGAGGAAUACCGAUGGCGAAGGCAGCCAUCUGGCCUAAUACUGACGCUGAGGUACGAAAGCAUGGGGAGCAAACAGGAUUAGAUACCCCAGUAGUCCCUGUCUCUUAUAC